rnacentral:rRNA from 1 species
UACGUAGGGGGCAAGCGUUGUCCGGAAUCAUUGGGCGUAAAGAGCGUGUAGGCGGCCCGAUAAGUCCGUUGUGAAAGUCGAGGGCUCAACCCUCGAAUGCCGGCGGAUACUGUCGGGCUAGAGUCCGGAAGAGGCGAGUGGAAUUCCUGGUGUAGCGGUGAAAUGCGCAGAUAUCAGGAAGAACACCCGUGGCUAAGGCGGCUCUCUAGUACGGUACUGACGCUGAGACGCGAAAGCGUGGGGAGCGAACAGG